rnacentral:lncRNA from 1 species
UAACAAUCCACACUACCACCGUUCUCGGUUAUGACACUCAAACACAGUCUCUGUAUGCACAACACAUACAACCGUUCUCUCUUAUACACUCACAUACACCGUUCUGUUAUACACUCACAUACACCGUUCUCUCUUAUACACUCACAUACACCGUUCUGUUAUACACUCACAUACACCGUUCUCUCUUAUGCCCACACAUACACCGUCUCUCUUAUACACGCACAUACACCGUUCUGUUAUCCGCAUAACAACCUCUCUUUUAUAC